rnacentral:lncRNA from 1 species
UUCCGAACUCAUGUCGAAACGGAUUCUUAAAUGAUGAGUCAAUGCUGUCAAGAACUUCCUGUAUAGCGGCUCUGAUUUCAGCAGCAGGCACAUGGUGAAAUGGUUAAAAUGGGUCCCAAAAAUGCAAUAUUUUUGUUUGGAUGGCGGUUUUAGAUCGUAUUCCCACACUGACUACACUAUGGGAUAAGAACUGUUGGGGCGGAGACGUGAAAUGUUGUCUGUGUGAAGAUGGCGAUGAAACAGCUGAACACAUUCUUUGUUUGUGCAGGGUAGCAUAAAUUGUCUGGUAUCACAUCAGUCAGUGGUGCAAGGAAAAAAAUAUUCGAAACUGCACUACAAAAAAGACUGGCAUUCAGGACUAAAAAAUCAGUCUUUGAUGCUCCCUAAUCAGUACCUAAUGGUUAUCAGGGACUGAUAUGCCAGUCCCCAGUCAGUGCCAGAUACCUAGUGUCACACCCCCAAAUAACCACCUAGGGCAUAUCCCUAUUGGAGGUGCAACGAUCCAACAAAGAGCCACCAAC